GGUGAACGCUGGCGGCGUGCCUAACACAUGCAAGUCGAGCGGUGCAGUUUGAAGCUUCGGUGGAAAGCUGCAUAGCGGCGGACGGGUGAGGAAAACGUAGGAACGUGCCCCUUGGAGUUGGAUAGCCACGGGAAACUGUGGGUAAACCGACAUAGACUCGAGAGAGUAAAGGCCGAAAGGCGCCAAGGGAGCGGCCUGCGGCCCAUCAGGUAGUUGGUAGUGUAAAGGACUACCAAGCCGACGACGGGUAGCCGGUCUGAGAGGAUGGCCGGCCACACUGGAACUGAGACACGGUCCAUACACCUACGGGUGGCAGCAGUAGGGAAUAUUAGAAAUGGGCGGAAGCCUGAUCUAGCAACACCGCGUGUGCGAUGAAAGGCCUUCGGGUCGUAAAGCACUUUUUGGAGGGAAUAGGAAGGAAGGUACCUCCAGAAUAAGUCUCGGCUAAACUACGUGCCAGCAGCCGCGGUAAGCUCGUCUCUA
rnacentral:rRNA from 1 species